GGCGGACGGGUGAGUAAUGCCUAGGAAUCUGCCUGGUAGUGGGGGAUAACGUUCGGAAACGAACGCUAAUACCGCAUACGUCCUACGGGAGAAAGCAGGGGACCUUCGGGCCUUGCGCUAUCAGAUGAGCCUAGGUCGGAUUAGCUAGUUGGUGAGGUAAUGGCUCACCAAGGCGACGAUCCGUAACUGGUCUGAGAGGAUGAUCAGUCACACUGGAACUGAGACACGGUCCAGACUCCUACGGGAGGCAGCAGUGGGGAAUAUUGGACAAUGGGCGAAAGCCUGAUCCAGCCAUGCCGCGUGUGUGAAGAAGGUCUUCGGAUUGUAAAGCACUUUAAGUUGGGAGGAAGGGCAUUAACCUAAUACGUUAGUGUUUUGACGUUACCGACAGAAUAAGCACCGGCUAACUCUGUGCCAGCAGCCGCGGUAAUACAGAGGGUGCAAGCGUUAAUCGGAAUUACUGGGCGUAAAGCGCGCGUAGGUGGUUUGUUAAGUUGGAUGUGAAAUCCCCGGGCUCAACCUGGGAACUGCAUUCAAAACUGACUGACUAGAGUAUGGUAGAGGGUGGUGGAAUUUCCUGUGUAGCGGUGAAAUGCGUAGAUAUAGGAAGGAACACCAGU
rnacentral:rRNA from 1 species